rnacentral:lncRNA from 1 species
UAAUAUUUCUACAAAGGAAGUUUCUGUUUCUGCUAGACUCUGUUGAGGCCUAGAACUUGAAGCUUAGACUUGAUCUCCCAGCUGCAUUACUCAUGAUGUCCUGCCCAGCUGUCCCCAGUUAAACAACUGCAGCCCAAAUGAGAUCUCAGAUGAAGCAGACUGGAUUUCAGGAGUGAGGGAGGAGGAUGAGUGAAGUCUGUCUGG